UGCAAGUCGAACGCGAAAGUCCACUUCGGGGGAUAAGUAAAGUGGCGCACGGGUGAGUAACACGUAGGUAAUCUACCUUCGGGUGGGGAAUAACCCAGGGAAACUUGGGCUAACACCGCAUAAUGCAGCGGCACCACAUGGUGACAGUUGUUAAAGCGGGGGAUUUUAGGACCUCGCGCCUGAAGAGGAGCCUGCGGCGGAUUAGCUAGUUGGUAAGGUAACGGCUUACCAAGGCAACGAUCUGUAGCCGGCCUGAGAGGGCGGUCGGCCACACUGACACUGAACAUACGGGUCAGACUCCUACGGGAGGCAGCAGUCGGGAAUUUUGGGCAAUGGGCGAAAGCCUGACCCAGCAACGCCGCGUGAAGGAUGAAAUCCCUCGGGAUGUAAACUUCGCAAGAAUGGGAAGAAUUAGCGAGCGCUAAUACCGCUCGUGAUGACGGUACCAUUUGUAAGCUCCGGCUAACUCCGUGCCAGCAGCCGCGGUAAUACGGGGGGAGCAAGCGUUGUUCGGAUUUACUGGGCGUAAAGGGCGCGUAGGCGGUCAGCACAAGUCAGUUGUGAAAUCUCCGGGCUUAACUCGGAAAGGUCAACUGAUACUGUGCGACUAGAGUGCGGAAGGGGCAACUGGAAUUCUCGGUGUAGCGGUGAAAUGCGUAGAUAUCGAGAGGAACACCUGCGGCGAAGGCGGGUUGCUGGGCCGACACUGACGCUGAGGCGCGAAAGCCAGGGGAGCGAACGGGAUUAGAUACCCCGGUAGUCCUGGCCUUAAACGAUGGAUGCUUGGUGUCUGGGGUUUUAUAGUCCCCGGGUGCCGUAGCUAACGCGUUAAGCAUCCCGCCUGGGGAGUACGGUCGCAGACUG
rnacentral:rRNA from 1 species